CCUACGGGAGGCUGCAGUGAGGAAUAUUGGUCAAUGGACGCAAGUCUGAACCAGCCAUGCCGCGUGCAGGAAGACGGCUCUAUGAGUUGUAAACUGCUUUUGUACGAGGGUAAACGCAGAUACGCGUAUCUGUCUGAAAGUACCGUAAGAAUAAGGAUCGGCUAACUUCGUGCCAGCAGCCGCGGUAAUACGGAGGAUUCAAGCGUUAUCCGGAUUUAUUGGGUUUAAAGGGUGCGUAGGCGGUCGGUUGAGUUAGAGGUGAAAUCCCGAGGCUCAACUUCGGAAUUGCCUUUGAUACUGUUCGGCGAGAGAGUAGUUGCGGUAGGCGGAAUGUAUGGUGUAGCGGUGAAAUGCUUAGAGAUCAUACAGAACACCGAUUGCGAAGGCAGCUUACCAAGCUACUUCUGACGUUGAGGCACGAAAGCGUGGGGAGCAAACAGGAUUAGAUACCCGUGUAGUC
rnacentral:rRNA from 1 species